rnacentral:lncRNA from 1 species
CCUCACCAGACACCUGCCCUGGGAGGCUGGGGUGUCCCGUAUGCCACCGCACAGGAGAGAGAGAAGUGUGCGCGGUGACAGCCUGCUGGGGUCCCCGGGGUGAUCCGAGCAAAGCCGCGUCCUGCCAACAGUGCUGUGCAGUGUCAGGAAGGCAGACCACUGGCGGGUGGACGUGCGAUUGAAAGCUUUUUAUUUUGCCAAGUAAACAACUCUUUAUAAUCACCAUCAUUUCACCACAGGAAGGACUAUGUGAGGCCAGAGGAGUGGGAAAGGUGCCAUCACAGAAUAAAAGGAAGUCCUUUCAAUUGAAUAAAUAUAGCUUUAUGAAAAACCACGCGGGCCUGUUUUCCGCAUUUCCCCGCAGGUCAGGGCGCCCGUCGACACAGACCGCACCACCGAUGAGGACCCGAGAGCAGUCUUACCGUUGCAAACUUUCAGAGGCAGGAGGCCUGCGACCGUGGACCAAGAGCCCCACUCUGGCAAGGGGGCAGCAGGUGCCCAGCGUGAGUGACUGUGUCAGGGAGGCAGCUGGAGGCCCAGGGUCAGCUCUGCAGACUCCAGUCCCAGGCCCAUGUCGCUCCCCACCCGCCCCGGGCGGGCUUAGCCGUGGAACGAAGAUGCUCGGUUUUCUUCCUCCCUUCCCCUCACACACUCCUUCUCGGCCCCCUGAGAGCCCAGACCUUCGCUCCUGUGAUCUGGGGCUCCCAGCCUCCCGGAACCUUUGCACGGGGGCAGCCACGGCCUCCUGGACGAACAGUGCUUGGAGUCUUCUGUGAAGAAUUUCUUUGAGCUCCUUCUCCUGUUUAUCUCCUCCUGAUUAAAAGGCCAUAAAGAACUGAUUUGCCAAAGACUUCAUAACCAGGCGCAGGGGACAAUGUGCAAUCUGAUGACAGGUCCAGACCCAUCUUUCAUGGGAGCACUGGGCCCAGGGCCGCAUGAGUGACAGUGUGGAAACGGGCGAGCCCUGCUAGCCCUGGAGCUGGCCGGGAGGAAUGCGACUGCAGCGGGAGGCGGGGUUGGCCUCUCCGGGGCCUGGCCGAGUGCCUGCUCAGCUAACGCACCGAUGGACGAUCCCUGGAGUAGUCAGGAUGUUGGUGGCAAAUAACAGAGGCCCAGUUCAUCUGGCUCAGACUAAAGUGGGAAUACAUUGGCUUAUGAAACUAAAGAGAGGCUCAUCUCAGCUUCAAGUCAAUGACAUCCAGGUGCCUGAUGUCGUCACUGGGAACCUACCUCUCCCCGUGAAUGGCUUCCCCCAGUGACGUCGUUCUCAGGAAGGCUCGCUCUGUGUGGCUGCAAGAGGCCGACCAGCAGCCCCAGGCCAUCAGCCUCCAGAUGAGCAGCUCCAGCCGUAGGGAAAGCUUCCCCUCCCUACCUUGGCUCCAUAAGAAGUUGGCCUGGCUUGGGCUGGGCACCCAUCCCUGCUGUAUUAACACUUACCAGUUACAGACACCAUGUUUGGUUCUGAGGACGGGAACAUGAGUAAGACAUGCCACCUUCUCUCGAGGAGCUCCCAACCUCACAGGAAAGACUUCACGGUUAACAGACAUUGUGAGUAACCAGGUCCAGUGCUGUCCCUCGUGAGAGGUCAGGGGACUAGUUGAGGGGCAAAGCCUCUGCAAUAAAAUUAAAAUUUCUUUCAACAGCAGCAUCCUCAAAGGCUCCAGUCCCAAUCUCCUAACCCAGCAGCCUGGCUGAGAGCUGGGGGCCCUGCAGUCUGUCAGAUCUGCGUUGAACCCCGGCUCUGCCACUUCGGAGCUCUGAGAACCUGGACGGUGAAGUCAGCGCUCUGUGCCUCUGGACAAAGGAGAUGAUAAUAACAUCUACCUCGUCAGGUUGUUCCGAGGACUAAACGAGAUCAGGCAGCUAACUCAGUGCCGACAUACAAGAGGAGCUGAACAAAGGGCAUUAUUACCGUUUCUAUCCCCUGAUGGCUGUUGCAGUAGAUCGGGGGCUCUGAACGCCCUCACCACGGCAGGAGGGCGCGGGAGCGGACUAACAGCACAGACAAGGGGCCGACGUGGACCCAAGAUUCCACCGAGCCAGCAUCUGGGCAGCCGUUGUCAGUACGAUCUGAUGAUUCUCAGGGAUCUCGUCCAGAGGUCCCGAUGCUGGGGAGGGGGUCCAGGUGAACUCAGAACUCAGGGGCCUGAGAUGGACCUCAGACCAGGUUCCAGCACUAUGCAGAGUUCAUUGACCUCCCCGCCUUCCAAGGACACUGGGCCUGCGCCCUACUUACAAAGAAUAUGUCCUGCGUCAUGUUCCCUGUCUGGGCUGGCCACCCCGACGGGCACCUGAUGGGACUUUAGAAACAUCCCAUCCACGGGAACAAAAAAGAGAGAAGCAUCCCAUCUGUGGGAACAAGAAGAAAUAACUCAAAUUAUCCAAAUGUCUGAAACCCUGAGUCAGAACCCAGAGGAAGAACCUCAGGAUAAAAGGGAGUCACAGCAUAGAACAAUUGGGAGUCUCGCUGAGGAGAGGAUGCUGUGCCUCAGACCCGGACAAUCGGCAUCCCACCUGCCAUACAGACUAUUGGGACUUCCCCGGCGGAUUGCGGUGUGGAUGUUGCGUGGCUCCUGACAGGCAAUUCACUGGAAAGGCAGUGAUGUGGGGGUGAAGACACAGCGGGGAUCCCACCCCCUCCAUUGCACCUGUGACCUCGAAUACGCACCUGCUUCCCCGGGACCCGGUGUCCUGGAGUGUUGACUGAAGGCGCCUGCCCCGAGCACCUCCAGGAUCCUGAAGGCCCGGCCAGCUGUGCACUGUCUCCUUGACCCCGCAGCCCCAGGAGCAUGGGCUCAGCCGGGACGGGUGCUUUUCCUGCCAACCACCUCCAGCUCACUCACACACACACCUCGUCCAGCAGCUCUGCCCGGCACGGCCUUGCUGGGUCCCUCAACCCCGUACUUGCUGUGGAGACGCUCUCUCGAGUGUCUUGUCCCUUUCCUGCCUCAGCUGGUCCGUGUCAAUGGGCUGUCCUUUGCUGCCCAAGGCUCCGUCUGGGCCUGGGGCCCCUCUGUUCUAGAUUAGAGACAGAAAAGGAGAAGGUGUAACAGGUUAGGAUGGAAGAGCGCAGACCCUGAAGGCUAUUUGUUCUUUUUUUCAUCUGUAUGGUGGUUUUUAAAUCUAUUCACAAAUACUUUGACCUCCUUCCUUCAAAAAGUGAAGUCUAAGGGCUCGCCUGCUGGUGCAGCAGUUAAGUUUACACGUUCCAUUUGGGCAGCCCAGGGUUCACCAGCAGAUCCCAGGUGUGGACCUAGCACCACGUGUCAAGCCAUGCUGUGGCAGAUGCCCCACAUAUAAAGUAGAGGAAGAUAGGCACAGAUGUUAGCUCAGGGCUAAUCUUCCUCAGCAAAAAGAGAAGGAUUGGUGUGGAUAUUAGCUCAGGGCCAAUCUUCCCCAGCAAAAAGAGGAGGAUUGGUGUAGAUGUCAGCUCAGCGCUAAUCUUCCACAAAAAAAAAAAAAAAAAGUGAAGUCUAACUCCUCUCCACAAAUGUGGGCCGUCCUUUGUGACUCACUUCUAAGGGACAGAAUGUGGUAGAGGUACCGCUCGCUGUACGAUGGCCAAGGCCUGGUCAUAAAUAGGGUAGCGUCUGCCUGGCUCUCUCUCGUUCCCUUGGGUCGCUUGAUCUGAGGUCGGGAGGACACAGCAGCAGACUGGGGGGCUAGAACCGAGACCUCCUGCCAGCUCCAGCACCAGCCAGUGCUGCGGGUGAGCCACUGCGGAGGCUUCAGAGGACGACGACCUCGUGAGAGACCUGAGCCAGAACCAGCUGGCCAAGCCACACUGAAUUCUUGACCCACAGAAACCUCGAGGAUAAGAAACAUUCAUUGUUUUUUAUGCCAUUAACCUUGGGGUAAUUUGCUACACAGCAGUAGACAAUUAAUGCAACCAGAAUCCCCCACUGCAGCUGUUUGUGUUGCUCAUCUCUUUCUUUGCACAGAGAAAACAAGCGAGCCCUGACUUUAGGAGGAUGCAGAGCAGACGAGGCUUAACUGUGCUACUGCCCCGACCUCGCGCCUGCCAGGGGAGUGACCCAGCUUUGGUCCACACGGCCGGUACACGCACACACCCACAGCUUUAGCUGGGCAGGGCCUGGUGCGGCCGGGGUGGCCACUACUGUACAGGCCUGUCCAAGACUCGCCCGCCACCCACUUUGGGAGGAGCACGACUAACCCAGAGAUGGCCCUGUCACCUGGCUCACAGACACCAACACUGAGCAUCCCCAAGCAUCAUGAUGCAAACGAUCUCCCUCCAGUGCAGGGCAGGACCCGAGCUGCAGACGGUGCUCUGAGGACCACAGACGGAUUAUGCUGGCAGCCGGGGCCGUUGCUGACGAAGUCCACUGGCUUCCCCAAGGCAUGUGCGGGCCAAGGUGUGAGGCUGCCGCUUUCCCUCCUGACCCAGGCUUCGGACACCAAGGGCUCGGGGAGGGAGAGGGAUGGCCCCGUGCUGAGCCUAGGCCUCCAGCCGAGAGCGCGGGAGGCGGCGCAGCCCCUCUUCCACAUAGGCAGUGGCAGACCCAUCAUCUGAGCACCAAGCACGGCCGGCACUCUCAGGGACGCCUGCCAGCACUCGAUGUGCCCUACGGACCUCCCAUUAACAGGGACAGACAUGCAAAUCAAUCCAGUUUAGCAAACACUGUCUGACUGUCAACUGUGUGGGGGACACAGGAGCAGUGGCUAGAGGAAAGAGGGAAUUAGCGUGGCUCCUGCCUUCAAAAGCACCACUCUCCAGGCGGUGGGGAAAACAGGAUGACCAGGAAAACUGUGGACAAGAACUGAACUGAGGAGCCAGUAGCCUCUGCCACUUCUGAAUGCCCAAGGACUGGGGACAGUAAGAGACGCUCUGUGGAAGGGUCUGCCUCUGGCCUGGCCUCUGGAGGGAUCAAGAAGAAAGGCUUUUAAGGAGGGCCAGCAGCAAGUCAUCAUGGAGCGUGGGAGAGUGGGGUGGCUCAGGGUAUGUGGGCAUCUCUCCAUCAUGGCAGUAAGCUAUACGGGUCAGCUAGGACACAAGAGUGCUGUGUAACAAACAACCCCAAAGCAGCAGCAGCCUACAACCAUAAGCUUUAGUUUCCUGCUCACAGGUUUGCAAGUUGGCUGAGCAUCUCUGCUCCAGCCUGUGGGUCCAGUUCAGGUCUGCUCACAUGCCUCUCCUGCCAGGAUCCAGGCCAUAGGAGCAACAUACCCUUCUCAAGGUGCAACGCAGGCGUGCAAGAGGCCAAGCCGAACCACACGGCCACAGUGAAAGCGCCCCAGUGCACAGACACACCCUGCGUCUGCCCAUACUCCACGGGUUGCAGCAAGUCACAUGGCUGGUCCCAAAGUCAGCAGGGCCGGGAAGUACACCUGACCAGGAUGAGCCACACAAUGAUGGUUAGAGAAAGAAAAAUUGUGAACAAAUCAUACAAUCCUCUUAGCAGAUGGUGGCCAAGAAGUCAUAGGAGCUGAGACUGGAAACACAGACUGGAGCCUCGUACAAGAGAGACUGGCUGGUUGUUUGCCAAACCACUUCUUUCCUUCCUGGGCGCAAAACGACACUGUAGUUCCCAGCUUUCUUCGUAGCUUGUGUCUGAAUUCUGGCCAAUGGAGUGUGGUAGACGUGGGCCCUACCGCCAGGCCCAGGCCAAGGAAAGGCCACACAGAGCCCUCCACUCUUCCCUCAUCUGCUGGUAGACAGACAGAAUCCAGCGGAGGAACCCGAGGCCCGAGGUGAUGGCAGAGCCACAGUGUGGAAGGAGCCCGGGUCCCCGAGUCACCGCUGGGAGGACAGCGCCCAGGAGAGCCACCUGACCAGGACACUCAUGGUCGUUUGUUCUGGAAGUCGUGAGUGACUUUUUAUUGUGUUCAGCCACAGAGGUUUGGAGAUCAUUUGUCAUAGCGAUUAAUCUGGCCUCCUACUGGCCCGUGCCGCAGAGGCCCCUGGCAUGCGACUAAGUGGGCUCACUCGGAGCUGGAGCCGGGCAGGCCCGGACCGCACGAGCAGCCCAGCACUUGUUAGAGGGACGACCUUGAGGAAACCGCUUCGCCUCUCCAGGGCUUAAUUUCUCAUCUUUCAGUGGGGAUUUAUAGCUCCUACCGCAAAAGAUGCAUCACCGGCAAACCGCCACUGCACCAGGUGGGUCCCGCUGAGCCCCUGCGGGUUGCCCUGCAGCCCAGAAGUUUGCGAGAGGCUUUUAGGAGAUUGAAAGCCAGCCACAUAGCUUGUCCAGGGUUAAGACGUCCUGCGGGCUCCUCUGCUGGGGACAGGGGAGCAGGACACCCUCACUGGGCCUGGGCCUGAGAAGGUCAGCCCGGGUCAGGCGGGGUCCUCCACCCCACACACAUUUACCGCAGAGCUGGCAGGCGCAGGGUGAGUCUCUCCUGUCAGCCUGCUGCCGCCCCGCCCCCACCCCCCAAACCCGCAAAGGCCACUUGGAACCCGAGAUGCUGAGGCUGGACACCAGGGGACAGACAGACACACAGACAGGAACCGACAAGCAGAAGAGAGAAGCCAGCUUCUGAAAGAAAAGCAGAGAAAGGGACCCAGCGAGGAGAGAGGGAGACCCAACCCACGAGGUCAUUGGGGUCGGAGCGGACGCGGUCCCCGUGCCACCACAGGGCGCCAGUUCUCAGGCUGCCUUCUCAGCUCAAACGAGCGCCCUGCCCGGAGCACGUGGCUGCGCAUCCUGAGCGGAGCGGCGCGUCCACGGGCAGCCGGGGCGGC